ACUUACGUCUGAUUUUAAACCUUAAAAUACCCACAUCGGUAUUUAUAAAUGACCCAUUGGAAAUAUUAAGCUGUACGGCUUUCAUAGGUUAUCUCUGAGGCUACUCUAACACAGAGAUUGGUUCACUGAAGUCAGGUUAUGAUGUCAAAGUUCGCGGAAUGUUCAACAGGGAUAUACACUCAUUUAUGUUAAUUAGUAUCCUUCAAGGAUAUUGGAGUCAUCUUUAAACGUAGAUGAGCAGCACGUGGCCAAAAGGUUAUUGCUUACUUCUCAUUUCAUUAUUCAGAAAGAGGAAAAAAAGUAUGAUGUACUCAGACGAACAAAGUCGGUACUCUGAUGUAAUGAGAGUUUGCAACCAAAUAAUUAUAUCUUCUGCGGAGCCCAUUCUCAAAUGCAUAGAAACGUUGUGCAAGCAUUUUGAAGAUGACGUAAUAGUUAUUGCUGAUUACUGUACUGCGGAUGGAGGGAAUUCGGUUGAAAUACUUAACAAAAUGAAGGAAAAAAUAGAUGAACAUUCAAGACAGAUGUUUGUAAUAUUCGAAGAUCAUCCGAAUAACGAAUUCAGUAGUCUUUUCAGCACUAUAAAUUGCAAGCUUAAUCAACAUAAUAUGUACCAAGCUGUGUGUUCCAAGGACAUGUAUAAACAAUGUUUACCGUCAAAUUUUAUACAUUUGAUAUUUUCCACCUUUGGAUUCCAUUGGUUAUCAGAAAGACCUUGCAAUAUAGAACAUGGAAUGUUCGUACAUGAUGGUAACGAGAUUGAACAGAAACUAUUUGCUCAACAAGCCGAGAAGGACUGGGAAACAUUCCUUCUUCAACGAGGAAAAGAAUUAAAACGUGUUUUCAGGUGGAAUAAUGUAUCUUAUCGGUUUGGUAAAAGAUGAUAAAGGAGGGUAUGGUUCAUUAGAGUUUCACAAGCAAAUGUCAGAAGUUCAAAAGACAAUGUUUCAAGAGGGAUUUAUAUCUAAGGAAGAACAUAAGGCUAUGCUUAUUAAGACUUAUAAUCGUUCAGAAGAUGAAAUGAGACUACCGUUUUGCCAAGGAUCAAAGGUUUCUGCAUUAGGGUUAGAAUUACAAUCCUUCACAAGGAGAAACUGGAAAGCGGUUAAACAUCCUGGAAACGAAAACAAUCAAAAAAAGCUAAUGUGGGCAUCAUGUUUGACAUCUGUUGCAAGAGUUUGGAGUCAUAUGCCUAUGAUCGAAAGCCUUGAACAUCACCGCACAACGGAAGACAAAAUAAAUUUGAUGAACCGUUUCUAUGACAAUUUGAAGACACGUCUACUUGAAUGUACAUUUGACUUAGACUACACAAUUGCUGAUCUAAUCAUAUCUAAAACCUAAGUGUGUGUUUCUGCAGUGAACUCAUUUAUAACAUACAUGAGAAUAACGUUUAGCAGGAGUUUAAAUGCACUCUUUCACAAUUUUUUGUCCACUUUUUAGUAUCACAGGGAUUCACAAAAUUUGAAACCAGAAGAGAAUAUUGGGCACUGUCGAACAAAGGUUGUUAAACAUGACACGAUUCAGUCUAGUGUCCAAGAAUUUCGAAUUAAGUGUCGCGGAAUUUCAAAUAACGUUAAAUCAAAGAGCCUUUGAACAGGUUUGUAAUAAUAAAGAUACU